AGCUCCAAUAGCGUAUAUUAAAGUUGUUGCAGUUAAAAAGCUCGUAGUUGAAGCCAAGGAAAACAGACUAGAGAACAUCUCCGGUCUGUCUUUCCAUUUUUCGCAAAGACGUCUAUGCAUAUUAAUUUAUGUGUAGGUUGAGUUGCGUCGUUUACUGUGAACAAAUUAGGGUGUUUAAAGCAAGCCUAUGUUUGAAUACACUAGCAUGGAAUAAUAAGAUAUGACCAAAGUAGUAUUUUGUUGGUGACCACUGUGGUAAUGAUUGAAAGAAACUGUUGUGGGUAUUCGUAUGAGCAUGUCAGAGGUGAAAUUCUUGGAUUUUGAUCAGACGAACUACUGCGAAAGCAUUUACCAAGGAUGUUUUCA
rnacentral:rRNA from 1 species